CCAUCCAUGCUACUGGAUGAACCUACGAUCCUGAAUAAAGAGCGGAUCGGACAAAGUAGCGAAACACGCAAGUGUGGGAUUUUAAACGCAAGUGAAUAAUCCUCCUGGAAGCCGUGAUCCGGGUAAGCGC
rfam:Candidatus Regiella insecticola 5.15 Rin_2504560293.442, whole genome shotgun sequence.